UACGUAGGGACCGAGCGUUGUCCGGAAUCAUUGGGCGUAAAGAGCGUGUAGGCGGCUCGCUAAGUCUUGCGUGAAAUCUCGGGGCUCAACCCCGAGCGGUCGUGAGAAAGUGGCGGGCUAGAGUGCGGGAGAGGAGAGUGGAAUUCCUGGUGUAGCGGUGAAAUGCGCAGAUAUCAGGAGGAACACCGGUGGCGAAGGCGGGUCUCUGGGCCGAUACUGACGCUGAGGAGCGAAAGCGUGGGGAGCGAACAGG
rnacentral:rRNA from 1 species